CCGCUCGUCGGUUUCCUACAACAGACGAAGCACUGGCGAGUAGUGUGCUCACGUCAGUCAACCCGCACCCUAUGCCUCACGACCCCGACUUUUCAGCCAUCCCCUGCCUGGUCCUCUGUGCCGCCUAGCUUAAGAUACGUAAACUGUUACUCACGGUUUCCGCGGGCGACAGUCGUACUGUUCGCCCAGGCCUGAGUGGAAGCGCGUUGGCGGACACUGGCUGCUGCGGUCGUCUACUCGCGUUGCUCCUGGCUCUGCCCGAAUCAGCCCGGCGUCUCCUUGCAGGCCUCUAUAGCGACUACUCUCACGAUAGCCGCUGCUGCGUCGUCUCGGCUGCCGCGCCGGUUCCGUCCAAAUCAAUUGCUUCCCCACAGGUCUCUCCUAGCUACAGUCCUCCUGCUCGAUGCCCCCCUGCUCAGCGCCCAACGAGCUGGCCGACUUUCCCUACUGCUCUCCCUUUUUUUCUCCGCCGGACCUCCAGCUCCUCCGGCCUCCCCGCCGUCACGUUCCAUACCGGCCUACAUCCUUGCCGCCCCCCCUUUUUACUACUGCCGUUGCUUCAUUUAAAAAAGGAGUCCUGUCCAAUCGGUCGUCAGCUGCCACACCUGUUGCUCAUAAGCAUGUGAUCAGUAGUGGUGAGAAGUUUAAGGGCAGUCCAGUCAGUGCAGGUCGCCUGGAUCUGAAACCGCUGUAUCUAUCACUUUGGAAUGAAGCUCUCAUCAAGCCCUUGCUGUAAAGAGCACUAGGUCUCUUUCUGCUUUUAUGGAAACUUGAUUGAAGAGAGUUGAAAGGACCUGUCAGCCUGCUUGGGGAAAGAAGGGCAGAGGAGCUCCUGCUCGCCACUCACCAUCUGGAGAAACUCACACCCAGCUAUUUCUUUCCCCUGUUGAGUCUGUGUGGCUUUGCUUCCAUCUACUGGGCAGAGGGUGAACUGCUGGAAAGAGGGGUAGAGGGGGCAACAGUGUCUAAAAUAGUUUGUGUCUUGCAUCAGUAAGAGUUUAUUAUUAUAUCAGUGACAGGACCAUUGUAAUGAGUUACUGACUUGUGACACUUAUUGCUGAGUUCUGUGAACAACCAAGUCAGCCAUCUCCUCACUAUCUUUCACUCACAGCUCGCUCAGUGAUCCUUCCACACAAACCCACCACAGCUCGCCCUAUAACUGAAUGUUGUCCCAAAGAUGUUUAAACAUUUUUCGUGCAUGCUAAUGGUGUAAAGAAUGCAUUUACAUAAGAACGAAGAAGGAUUUUUCUUGAUUCUGACUCAAUUCACCCAUGAGAAAACCUGAUUUUUGUAACUGGAUUAUGUUAUGGUUUUAUUUUUCAUUAUUGUCAUUUCUUUUUAAAAACAAAUAGUACGACCCUGCUGCAGCUCACAGCGCAGUUACUGAAGCUGUUAACUAUGACCAACUAAGAUAAACACACUUUGUAAUUUUCAGCCUAUUUACUCAAAAUAAUAUGAAAUCCUGUAAAAUUGGCAGUCAAGCCAACUAACCUUGGUCAAGGUCACUGACUGAAAUCCUGAUAAAUGUAGCAGAUCAGAGUGGGUUGGAGCAUUCACUUUGAGUUUGAAAUUGAAGUGUAGUCAUCUUACAUAUUGCUGGCAGCAACCAUGUGAACAAUUCAACCUUUAGACAAAUGCAUCAUAUCAAAAUAUAAGAGGACUUAAAACUGGUGGCAAUUCAAAGCCAGAUACUAAAUGUCCACCCACAAGUAAAAACAUAUAUUACUGGGGUUUUUUUUUAAUACUAAUGUUUUUGUCAGCUGUUUACCAAUUAAUGUUUCUGCUCUUCAUGUACUGGUCACAUGGACUGAGCUUUUGUGUUUUCAGUCAAAAUUUUUGAAUCCCUGGCCUGUUUUUGAUUACUGUUGAAUAAUGAAAUCUUCAAUCUAAUUUCCUGUGCAAUCAUUACACCAUUAAUGUGCACCAAAACACAUCCUGUGUCUCUGUUAAGUGUACUUGUUGGGAUACUGACGUCAACACAAUUUGCCAAUAAAAAUGAGAUGUCCUCUCUUUUGAGGUCCUCUUAGAGCACGCAAUGUGUGAA